CUCAGGUUGAACGCUGGCGGCAGGCCUAACACAUGCAAGUCGAGCGGAAACGACACUAACAAUCCUUCGGGUGCGUUAAUGGGCGUCGAGCGGCGGACGGGUGAGUAAUGCCUAGGAAAUUGCCUUGAUGUGGGGGAUAACCAUUGGAAACGAUGGCUAAUACCGCAUAAUGCCUACGGGCCAAAGAGGGGGACCUUCGGGCCUCUCGCGUCAAGAUAUGCCUAGGUGGGAUUAGCUAGUUGGUAAGGUAAUGGCUUACCAAGGCGACGAUCCCUAGCUGGCCUUAGAGGAUGACCAGCCACACUGGAACUGAGACACGGUCCAGACUCCUACGGGAGGCAGCAGUGGGGAAUAUUGCACAAUGGGGGAAACCCUGAUGCAGCCAUGCCGCGUGUGUGAAGAAGGCUUUCGGGUUGUAAAGCACUUUCAGCGAGGAGGAAAGGGCAUAGAUUAAUACUCUAUGUCUGUGACGUUACUCGCAGAAGAAGCAGGUU
rnacentral:rRNA from 1 species